UACGGAGGGUGCGAAGCGUUAUUCCGGAUUCACUGGGGUUUAAAGGGUGCGUAGGAGGGCAGGUAAGUCAGUGGUGAAAUCCUAGAGCUUAACUCUAGAACUGGCCGUUGAUACUAUCUGUCUUGAAUAUUGUGGAGGUGAGCGAAUAUGUCAUGUAGCGGUGAAAUGCUUAGAUAUGACAUAGAACACCAAUUGCGAAGGCAGCUCGCUACACAUAUAUUGACUCUGAGGCACGAAAGCGUGGGGAUCAAACAGGG
rnacentral:rRNA from 1 species